rnacentral:rRNA from 1 species
AGUGCAGGCGGUUUUUUAAGUCUGAUGUGAAAGCCUUCGGCUUAACCGAAGAAAUGCAUUGGAAACUGGGAAACUUGAGUGCAGAAGAGGAGAGUGGAACUCCAUGUGUAGCGGUGAAAUGCGUAGAUAUAUGGAAGAACAUCAGUGGCGAAGGCGGCUCUCUGGCCUGUAACUGACGCUGAGGCUGAAAGCGUGGGUAGCAAACA